rnacentral:rRNA from 1 species
UACAGAGGGUGCGAGCGUUAAUCGGAAUUACUGGGCGUAAAGCGCGCGUAGGCGGCUUUGCAAGUCGGGUGUGAAAUCCCCAGGCUUAACCUGGGAACUGCAUUCGAGACUGCAUUGCUAGAGUAUGGGAGAGGGAAGUGGAAUUUCCGGUGUAGCGGUGAAAUGCGUAGAGAUGUGGAGGAACACCAGUGGCGAAGGCGACUCACUGGCCCGGUACUGACGCUGAGGUGCGAAAGCGUGGGGAGCAAACAGG